AUUGAACGCUGGCGGCAGGCUUAACACAUGCACGUCGAGCGCGCGGCGGACGGGUGAGUAAUGUCUGUGACACUGCCUGAUGGAGGGGGAUAACUACUGGAAACGGUAGCUAAUCCCGCAUACCAUCAGAUGUGCCCAGAUGGGAUUCGCUAGUGGGUGGGGUAAUGGCUCACCUAGGCGACGAUCCCUAGAUGGGCUGAGAGGAUGACCAGACAAACUGGAACUGAGACACGGACCAGACUCCUACGGGAGGCAGCAGUGGGGAAUAUUGCACAAUGGGCGCAAGCCUGAUGCAGCCAUGCCGCGUGUGGGAAGAAGGCCUUCGGGUUGUAAAGCACUUUCAGCGAGGAGGCGUUACUCGCAGAAGAAGCACCGGCUAACUCCGUGCCAGCAGCCGCGGUAAUUC
rnacentral:rRNA from 1 species